UUAAGCGACUAAGCGUACACGGUGGAUGCCCUGGCAGUCAGAGGCGAUGAAGGACGUGCUAAUCUGCGAUAAGCGUCGGUAAGGUGAUAUGAACCGUUAUAACCGGCGAUUUCCGAAUGGGGAAACCCAGUGUGUUUCGACACACUAUCAUUAACUGAAUCCAUAGGUUAAUGAGGCGAACCGGGGGAACUGAAACAUCUAAGUACCCCGAGGAAAAGAAAUCAACCGAGAUUCCCCCAGUAGCGGCGAGCGAACGGGGAGCAGCCCAGAGCCUGAAUCAGUGUGUGUGUUAGUGGAAGCGUCUGGAAAGGCGCGCGAUACAGGGUGACAGCCCCGUACACAAAAAUGCACAUGCUGUGAGCUCGAUGAGUAGGGCGGGACACGUGGUAUCCUGUCUGAAUAUGGGGGGACCAUCCUCCAAGGCUAAAUACUCCUGACUGACCGAUAGUGAACCAGUACCGUGAGGGAAAGGCGAAAAGAACCCCGGCGAGGGGAGUGAAAAAGAACCUGAAACCGUGUACGUACAAGCAGUGGGAGCAYGCUUAGGCGUGUGACUGCGUACCUUUUGUAUAAUGGGUCAGCGACUUAUAUUCUGUAGCAAGGUUAACCGAAUAGGGGAGCCGAAGGGAAACCRAGUCUUAACUGGGCGUUAAGUUGCAGGGUAUAGACCCGAAACCCGGUGAUCUAGCCAUGGGCAGGUUGAAGGUUGGGUAACACUAACUGGAGGACCGAACCGACUAAUGUUGAAAAAUUAGCGGAUGACUUGUGGCUGGGGGUGAAAGGCCAAUCAAACCGGGAGAUAGCUGGUUCUCCCCGAAAGCUAUUUAGGUAGCGCCUCGUGAAYUCAUCUCCGGGGGUAGAGCACUGUUUCGGCAAGGGGGUCAUCCCGACUUACCAACCCGAUGCAAACUGCGAAUACCGGAGAAUGUUAUCACGGGAGACACACGGCGGGUGCUAACGUCCGUCGUGAAGAGGGAAACAACCCAGACCGCCAGCUAAGGUCCCAAAGUCAUGGUUAAGUGGGAAACGAUGUGGGAAGGCCCAGACAGCCAGGAUGUUGGCUUAGAAGCAGCCAUCAUUUAAAGAAAGCGUAAUAGCUCACUGGUCGAGUCGGCCUGCGCGGAAGAUGUAACGGGGCUAAACCAUGCACCGAAGCUGCGGCAGCGACACUAUGUGUUGUUGGGUAGGGGAGCGUUCUGUAAGCCUGUGAAGGUGUGCUGUGAGGCAUGCUGGAGGUAUCAGAAGUGCGAAUGCUGACAUAAGUAACGAUAAAGCGGGUGAAAAGCCCGCUCGCCGGAAGACCAAGGGUUCCUGUCCAACGUUAAUCGGGGCAGGGUGAGUCGACCCCUAAGGCGAGGCCGAAAGGCGUAGUCGAUGGGAAACAGGUUAAUAUUCCUGUACUUGGUGUUACUGCGAAGGGGGGACGGAGAAGGCUAUGUUGGCCGGGCGACGGUUGUCCCGGUUUAAGCGUGUAGGCUGGUUUUCCAGGCAAAUCCGGAAAAUCAAGGCUGAGGCGUGAUGACGAGGCACUACGGUGCUGAAGCAACAAAUGCCCUGCUUCCAGGAAAAGCCUCUAAGCAUCAGGUAACAUCAAAUCGUACCCCAAACCGACACAGGUGGUCAGGUAGAGAAUACCAAGGCGCUUGAGAGAACUCGGGUGAAGGAACUAGGCAAAAUGGUGCCGUAACUUCGGGAGAAGGCACGCUGAUAUGUAGGUGAAGUCCCUCGCGGAUGGAGCUGAAAUCAGUCGAAGAUACCAGCUGGCUGCAACUGUUUAUUAAAAACACAGCACUGUGCAAACACGAAAGUGGACGUAUACGGUGUGACGCCUGCCCGGUGCCGGAAGGUUAAUUGAUGGGGUUAGCCGCAAGGCGAAGCUCUUGAUCGAAGCCCCGGUAAACGGCGGCCGUAACUAUAACGGUCCUAAGGUAGCGAAAUUCCUUGUCGGGUAAGUUCCGACCUGCACGAAUGGCGUAAUGAUGGCCAGGCUGUCUCCACCCGAGACUCAGUGAAAUUGAACUCGCUGUGAAGAUGCAGUGUACCCGCGGCAAGACGGAAAGACCCCGUGAACCUUUACUAUAGCUUGACACUGAACAUUGAGCCUUGAUGUGUAGGAUAGGUGGGAGGCUUWGAAGUGUGGACGCCAGUCUGCAUGGAGCCGACCUUGAAAUACCACCCUUUAAUGUUUGAUGUUCUAACGUUGACCCGUAAUCCGGGUUGCGGACAGUGUCUGGUGGGUAGUUUGACUGGGGCGGUCUCCUCCUAAAGAGUAACGGAGGAGCACGAAGGUUGGCUAAUCCUGGUCGGACAUCAGGAGGUUAGUGCAAUGGCAUAAGCCAGCUUGACUGCGAGCGUGACGGCGCGAGCAGGUGCGAAAGCAGGUCAUAGUGAUCCGGUGGUUCUGAAUGGAAGGGCCAUCGCUCAACGGAUAAAAGGUACUCCGGGGAUAACAGGCUGAUACCGCCCAAGAGUUCAUAUCGACGGCGGUGUUUGGCACCUCGAUGUCGGCUCAUCACAUCCUGGGGCUGAAGUAGGUCCCAAGGGUAUGGCUGUUCGCCAUUUAAAGUGGUACGCGAGCUGGGUUUAGAACGUCGUGAGACAGUUCGGUCCCUAUCUGCCGUGGGCGCUGGAGAACUGAGGGGGGCUGCUCCUAGUACGAGAGGACCGGAGUGGACGCAUCACUGGUGUUCGGGUUGUCAUGCCAAUGGCACUGCCCGGUAGCUAAAUGCGGAAGAGAUAAGUGCUGAAAGCAUCUAAGCACGAAACUUGCCCCGAGAUGAGUUCUCCCUGACYCYUURAGRGUCCUGAAGGAACGUUGAAGACGACGACGUUGAUAGGCCGGGUGUGUAAGCGCAGCGAUGCGUUGAGCUAACCGGUACUAAUGAACCGUGAGGCUUAACCUU
rnacentral:rRNA from 1 species